UACCAUAAUGCUUACCUGACUGAC
rnacentral:sRNA from 1 species